AUGAACUUUCAGUUAGGUUCAGGUCUGAGCUGCGUCUGUAGAUACACCAAGUUCGGUGGUCAUAGUUCUCUUCGUCCAAAUUUUCGAGAGCAUUGCGGCUGUCCUGAACUUGUUUGGGUGCUGCUGUUAUAUCAGUUCGGUGUGGCGGGAUUCUCCGGGUUUCUAAGAUGGUUUGGCUUUCAGUUUUGCUUUGAUGUUAUUCUCCGGGUUUCUAAGAUGGUUUGGCUUUCAGUUUUGCUUUGA